UUCUUCCUAAUGAUCUCUCUCUGCCAUACAAUUUAUGAUGUGAGAGAGUUUCCAAAUUGUAGGCUCUGCAAUGCUUUUUAAAAGCUGUCCUGUUUCUGCCCCCACUUCCUUGAGAGAAACAGGUGAUUCAACAGGUGAUUCCGAUUAAUCUGUGAUUGAUCAAGGACGGGAGUCAGAGAGGCCUGCCAAAACAACAUCACAGCCAGAUACACAUGUGUCAAGUGUGACGUCAAAGAGAAGAAGAGGUAACUCGGCAAUGGCUAACUGGUCUUCUCAACACCAGACCUUUUUGGAGAGAAUGGCAGCAAAAAAAAACAUAUGGCUGGAGGUGCAGAUAGUGCAGAGCCAGGUGAGGGAGGAGUGGCUCAUCUCUUUGAUUGUGGAGUCCAAUGCACAUACCACAGAGCAGGUGGUGCCUCUGUUGCUUGAAGGCUUCCGAAGCAUCCAGCCACCACCACCACCCCAGCCAAUGUUUGUCCCAUCUCCCUAUCAAGGAUACCACACACCUCCCCAAAACUACCAAAUGCAUGCCAAUCCUGCCUCAAGCACAGCUUUCUUUGACCAACCAGCUGACGAAGAAGAAACAAAAUACUUCCAAGAGUUAGUUCCAAGAUGUAGUUCCUAACAUGUUGUUGCUCAGUUCAGUUUAGGGGCUAAUAGUUGACAGUUUAUCUAUGGCUCUGAAGUCCACGAGCAAGUCCCUAAAAGUUUAUUUCUGUUGAACUGGUGUGAUGGAAAUGUUUAUCUUUGUGUUUUUCUAAUAACCAAUUUCUGUGUUCAUGCAAGUGGCUGUUUGAAUGUGCCUGGCAGGAAUCCUCACUAUCAGUAUCUGCAAUUUGGCAGUACGCCCAGAACCUUGUUUUGAGAACGAAAUAUAUCUCAGUUUCAAGGUCUCAGCUUAGAGGGAGGAAGCCUUGUGAGGUAUUUGUCAGUCAGGCAUUUGUCUGUAGGCAUUUAUAAGAGAAGUGUCUACGUGGUCUGCAGCCACUGGUAGAGAAUAUCAUAAAGUGCACUAGGUGCUACUCUAUAUGUAUAGUGAAGAUACAUAUGGUGCAUAGGAAGUAGCGACAAAGAAUCGUUGAAGAUGCAUAUUAAGUAAUAAGGGUGAUUACUGAGUGUGUUUGGGAAUAGUACUACGUGAAUGUGGAUGUGAAAGCUAUGUGAUUAUGAGAUGUGACAGAUUAAACUGAUUGAAAUUUGGAUAAUAAAAUAUUGACAUUUGCAUAAUAAGCUGAUUGAGA